rnacentral:misc_RNA from 1 species
UCCGUGUUAACCACGGCAGUCUCUUUAGAGAGCCCAACUUAAUGCUGGCAACUAAAGACAAGGGUUGCGCUCGUUGCGGGACUUAACCCAACAUGUCACCACACGAGCUGACGACAGCCAUGCAGCACCUGUCAUCCUGCUGUAUUGCUACAGAAGCCGUAUCUCUACGGUUGUCAGGAGAUGUCAGAUCCAGGUAAGGUUCUUCGCGUUGCUUCGAAUUAAACCACAUGAUCCACCGCUUGUGCGGGCCCCCGUCAAUUCCUUUGAGUUCUAGUCUUGCGACCGUACUUCCCAGGCGGGGUACUUAGUGCGUUAGCGCCGGCACCCGGGGACUUUAUAACCCCAGACACCAAGCAUUCAUCGUUUAAGGCCAGGACUAC